GACGAACGCUGGCGGCGUGCUUAACACAUGCCAGUCGAACGGAAAGGCCCUGCUUUUGUGGGGUGCUCGAGUGGCGAACGGGUGAGUAACACGUGAGUAACCUGCCCUUGACUUUGGGAUAACUUCAGGAAACUGGGGCUAAUACCGGAUAGGAGCUCCUGCUGCAUGGUGGGGGUUGGAAAGUUUCGGCGGUUGGGGAUGGACUCGCGGCUUAUCAGCUUGUUGGUGGGGUAGUGGCUUACCAAGGCUUUGACGGGUAGCCGGCCUGAGAGGGUGACCGGACACAUUGUGACUGAGAUACGGCCCAGACUCCUACGGGAGGCAGCAGUGGGGAAGAUUGCACAAUGGGCGGAAGCCUGAGGCAGCAACGCCGCGUGCGGGAUGACGGCCUUCGGGUUGUAAACCGCUUUCGCCUGUGACGAAGCGUGAGUGACGGUAAUGGGUAAAGAAGCACCGGCUAACUACGUG
rnacentral:rRNA from 1 species